AUGUGGAGAAUCUUGGAGCAAAAGGCAUGGCAUCGAAAUUUGACACUAGAAAAACUGGACAUAAACUAUCUAAAAACUAUCACAAAAAAUUUCUCUGAAGAUCAAAUAAUUGGACGCGGUGGGUUUGGAGUUGUUUACAAGGGUGAGAAAGAAAAUGGUGAGGUUGUUGCAGUGAAGAAGCUUAUUUCAAGCACGGCACCAAUGGAUGAUAAGCAAUUUAUGAACGAGGUUCAGCAUGUUAUGGAUAUAUGCCAUCCUAAUAUUGUAAGACUAGAAGGCUAUUGUCACCAAACAGAAAAGGAAAUAAUAACUUUCCAAGAUGGACAGUCAAAAUUCGUGGAUGAGGAGUAUAGACUUCUAUGUUUCGAGUAUCUCCCUAAUGGAAGCCUCGACAAGCAUCUCAAUGAUGAAUCUUCUGGGUUAGAGUGGCACGCACGUUACAAUAUAAUUGAAGGGAUUUGCACCGGUUUAUAUUGUCUUCAUGAAGGUAGAAAAGGUGCACCGGUUCUUCAUCUGGAUCUAAAACCUAGCAACAUAUUGCUAGAUAAGAACAUGACACCCAAAAUCGCUGACUUCGGCUUGUCAAGGCUAUUUGAUGGAGGAAAUACUCAUAUUAGCACCGAGCAUGUAGUCGGAACACGAGGAUACAUGGCACCUGAAUAUAUAGAAAGCAAAAUUCUCUCAGAAGAGUCGGAUAUAUUCAGUUUGGGCGUUAUACUCGCACAAAUAGUGAUCGGACAGAGGAAGUACCCUGAAGGAACAAGUAAUGAGGAGUUCAUUGAGGUAUCUGAAAAAUGGAGGACAAGGUUACAGAAAACAUCAAAGAAGACAUCCUUGGAAGCGGAGUGCCGACAAGUAGAUGAAUGCAUUCGAGUAGCGCGAAAAUGCAUGGAUAAAGACCGAAAGAGAAGGCCAACUAUAAGAGAAAUAGUUGAGAUUCUUGAAAAAAUUAAGUGUUCGAAAGACAGACAAGUGAUUGGCAUCGAUCUCGGCACGACCUACUCCUGUGUUGGAGUCUGGCUGGAUGGUCGUGUGGAGAUUGUUGCCAAUGACGAAGGAAACCGCACAACACCGUCAUGUGUCGCCUUCACCGACUACGAGAGGUUUAUUGGCGAGGGGGCUAACAAUCAGAUAUCAAUUAAUGCAUCGAACACCAUCUUCGAUAUGAAGCGGCUCAUCGGCCGGAGUUUCUCUGACCCGUCCGUGAAGAGCGAUGCCAAGUAUUGGCCAUUUCAGGUGAUCCAGGGCCCCGACGAAAGGCCCAGGAUCAAGGUGAGUUACCUUGGCAGGGAGAAGUUGUUCUCGCCGGAGGAGAUCUCUGCCAUGGUGCUCGUGAAGAUGAAGGAGACAGCUGAGGUCUACCUUGGACCUGGAACGACCAUCGAGAAUGCUGUGGUGACUGUCCCAGCCUACUUCAACAACUCCCAGCGCAAGGCGACCAAGGAUGCUGCCACCAUCGCCGGCCUUAAUGUCUUGCGCAUCAUCAACGAACCUACCGCAGCGGCCAUUGCCUACAGCCUUGACCGGAAGUGGGGCAACGCUGAAGAGAGCAUUGUGCUAGUGUAUGACUUGGGCGGUGGGACGCUUGAUGUAUCCCUCGUCGUUGUCAAGAAAGGUCAAGGGUCUGAGAAAGGCAUGCUGGAGGUCAAGGCUACCGCCGGCGACACUCACCUCGGAGGUGAGGAUUUUACCAACAACAUGGUGGAUCAUUUCGUCAAGGAAUUCCAGAAGAAAAAGGGCAAGGAUAUCAGCGGCGACAAGAAGGCGGUCCGGCGCCUGAAGAACUCGUGCGAGAAGGCCAAGAGGAUGCUCUCCUCCCACGCCCAGACCGUUGUGGAUGUCGAAGCUCUUUUUGAGGGCAUCGACUUCUACUCCGAAAUCACCUGCGGCCUGUUUGAUCAGCUGAACAAGGACCUGUUCAGCAAAUGCAUGGAGCCGGUUGAGAGGUGCCUGUUGGACGCCAAGAUGGACAAGAAGAAAGUGGACGAUGUCGUGCUCAUCGGGGGCUCCGCACGGAUCCCCCGCGUGCACCGGCUCGUCAAGGACUUCUUCAAUGGGAAGGAGCCCUGCCAGAGUAUCAACGCCGACGAGGCCGUUGCAUAUGGAGCCACCGUCCAGGCCGCCAUCCUCAUGGGCCACAUAGAGCAUGACAUCCACCUGCAUCUCAUCGACGUCAUUCCGCUCUCACAGGGCACCGACGUCAAGGGAGGACUCAUGAGGGUGGUGAUCCCGAGGAACACCACCAUCCCCACAACCAAGGAGGAGAACUUUGUCACAACUAUGGACAACCAGUCCAGCAUGAGUAUCGGCGUGUACGAGGGCGAGAGGGCCAUGGUAGACGACAACAGCCUGCGCGGCAAGUUCAUGCUUUCAGGCCUCACGUUGGCUCCUAAGGGAGUCACUAAAGUCAACGUGCGGUUUGAGGUUGAUGAAGACGGGAUCCUGCACGUCUCGGCAGAAGACAAGAAGUCUGCUCAGAAGGAGAAGAUAACCAUCAUGAAUGACGUGGGGCGUUUUAGCAUGGAGGAGAUUCAGAGAAUGGUGGAGGAGGCCCAGGAGUACAAGGCCGUGGAUGAGGAACACAAGAACAAGGUACAAGCACGGAACGACAUUGAGGAUUUGCUAUACAAGAUGUGCAACACUCUCAAGCUCCAGGACGCAGUUGAUGAGGUUACAAGCUGGCUCCAAGACAACAAGCUCACCACCAGCCAGAUUAAUGACAAGAAGAAGCAGAUUGAGGGUCAAUACAACAGCAUCAGCAGCCAGAUUGAGAGUGCUUCUCCCUAA
rnacentral:rRNA from 1 species